rnacentral:rRNA from 1 species
UACAGAGGGUGCAAGCGUUGUUCGGAAUUAUUGGGCGUAAAGCGCGUGUAGGCGGCUUUGCAAGUCGGGUGUGAAAGCCCUCGGCUCAACCGAGGAAGUGCGCCCGAAACUGCAGAGCUUGAGUACCGGAGAGGAUGGCGGAAUUCCCCAAGUAGAGAUGAAAUUCGUAGAUAUGGGGAGGAACACCGGUGGCGAAGGCGGCCAUCUGGACGGAUACUGACGCUGAGACGCGAAAGCGUGGGGAGCAAACAGG